rnacentral:rRNA from 1 species
GAUGAACGCUAGCGACAGGCUUAACACAUGCAAGUCGAGGGGCAGCGAGGGAGUGCUUGCACUUCUGUCGGCGACCGGCGCACGGGUGAGUAACACGUAUGCAACCUGCCCUUGUCAGGGGGAUAAGCGAGGGAAACCUCGUCUAAUACCGCAUAUAUGAUUUAGAGGCAUCUUUUAAUCAGGAAAGAAUUAUCGGACAAGGAUGGGCAUGCGGGACAUUAGGUAGUUGGGGGUGUAACGGACCACCAAGCCGACGAUGUCUAGGGGUUCUGAGAGGAAGGUCCCCCACACUGGUACUGAGACACGGACCAGACUCCUACGGGAGGCAGCAGUGAGGAAUAUUGGUCAAUGGUCGGAAGACUGAACCAGCCAAGUAGCGUGAAGGAUGACUGCCCUACGGGUUGUAAAACUUCUUUUGUUUGGGAAUAAAAGACGCUACGUGUAGCGUUCUGCAUGUACCUUACGAAUAAGCAUCGGCUAAAUUCCGUG